GGAGGGGUGCGAGAGUGGUUGAAUCGGGCGGUCUCGAAAACCGUUGUGCCGGUAACCCCGGUACCGUGGGUUCGAAUCCCACCCCCUCCG
rnacentral:tRNA from 1 species